CAGCCGCCACGGGAAUACGUAGGUGGCAAGCGUUGUCCGGAAUUAUUGGGCGUAAAGGGCUCGCAGGCGGUUUCUUAAGUCUGAUGUGAAAGCCCCCGGCUCAACCGGGGAGGGUCAUUGGAAACUGGGAAACUUGAGUGCAGAAGAGGAGAGUGGAAUUCCACGUGUAGCGGUGAAGUGCGUAGAGAUGUGGAGGAACACCAGUGGCGAAGGCGACUCUCUGGUCUGUAACUGACGCUGCGGAGCGAAAGCGUGGGGAGCGAACAGGAUUAGAUACCCCAGUAGUCCCUGUCUCUUAUAC
rnacentral:rRNA from 1 species